UCCGCGGUAGCUCAAUGGUAGAGCAAUCGACUGUUAAUCGAUUGGUUCCUGGUUCGAGUCCAGGCCGCGGAG
rnacentral:tRNA from 1 species